GACGAACGCUGGCGGCGUGCUUAACACAUGCAAGUCGAACGGUGAAGCGCCUUCCUUUUUGGUGGGUGUGGAUGAGUGGCGAACGGGUGAGUAACACGUGAGUAACCUGCCCCCUUCUUCUGGAUAACCGCAUGAAAGUGUGGCUAAUACGGGAUAUUCUGGGUCUGUCGCAUGAUGGGUCUGGGAAAGAUAUUGUUUCGGUGGGGGAUGGGCUCGCGGCCUAUCAGCUUGUUGGUGGGGUGAUGGCCUACCAAGGCGGUGACGGGUAGCCGGCCUGAGAGGGUGGGCGGUCCCACUGGGGAUGGGAGACCGACCCGACUCCGACGGGAAGCAGCAGGGGGGAAUAUUGGACGAUGGGCGGAAGGCUGGAGCAGCGACGCCGGGUGGAGGAAGGAGGCCUUCGGGUUGUGAACCUCUUUCGCCAGUGAAGCAGGCCUGCCUCGUUUGUGGGUGGGUUGACGGUAGCUGGAUAAGAAGCGCCGGCUAACUACGUG
rnacentral:rRNA from 1 species